UAUAGAUAGAAGGAACGGUAAAUAAACAUUUGAACCCGAUCCCGAAUACAAAAAAGAUGAAAGCUUAGACGCGCCAAUCACAAUUGAGCUAGCCGAAUUGAAAACGUUGCCAGCUCUAUUUUCAGUACGAAGAAUUGAACGAAGGAGAAUAUCAAAAUUUUUCCGACAAUUCAGAUAAAUUGUCGAUGUGGCAACGUGCAUUCGGGAAUUCUGUCAUUUUGUUCUGGCUUUAGACCUCCUCAGUUGGCUAAAUCUUCAUAAUUCCUUGUUUUAAUUAUUUUGUAUUUUCAUUUAUAACCAUUAGAAGUGAUAUUAGAUAUGCCUAGCAAGUGUUUUUUGUGUGGUUUCACUUAUAUUGUAGGAGGUGAAAUUAGUGUUCACAGACUUCCAUCGAAUCAACUUGAACGAGAAAAAUGGUUGCAGAGAAUUUCUUGGAACCGACCGAUGUUGAAAAAAAAAAUUUUUCUUUGCUCAAAUCACUUUCCUGAAAAUUGCUUCCGAUUAAUGAUACUAUGAAAGAGGCUUCUACCAGGAAGUUUGCCUUCUCCUUCUGAAAUCAAAUUGGAAAUACCUCUGUACCAGAAGACCAGUCGGCAGACCCCCUAAGCGCUGGAAAGACUCCUGGAUAUCUACAUCCACCGAGAACUAAAGUGGAAAAUACCAGCCCUAG